CCUACGGGAGGCAGCAGUGGGGAAUAUUGGACAAUGGGGGCAACCCUGAUCCAGCCAUGCCGCGUGUGUGAAGAAGGCCCUCGGGUUGUAAAGCACUUUCAGUGAGGAAGAACGCCUGGUGGUUAAUACCCAUCAGGAAAGACAUCACUCACAGAAGAAGCACCGGCUAACUCCGUGCCAGCAGCCGCGGUAAUACGGAGGGUGCGAGCGUUAAUCGGAAUUACUGGGCGUAAAGCGCGCGUAGGUGGCUUGAUAAGCCGGUUGUGAAAGCCCCGGGCUCAACCUGGGAACGGCAUCCGGAACUGUCAAGCUAGAGUGCAGGAGAGGAAGGUAGAAUUCCCGGUGUAGCGGUGAAAUGCGUAGAGAUCGGGAGGAAUACCAGUGGCGAAGGCGGCCUUCUGGACUGACACUGACACUGAGGUGCGAAAGCGUGGGUAGCAAACAGGAUUAGAUACCCCAGUAGUC
rnacentral:rRNA from 1 species